rnacentral:tRNA from 1 species
AAUAAGAUAGGAUAAGUAAGUCUAUUAGGUUCAUACCCUAAAGGUGUUUUCUCUUAUUAG